rnacentral:rRNA from 1 species
UACGUAGGGUGCAAGCGUUGUCCGGAAUUAUUGGGCGUAAAGAGCCCGUAGGCGGUUUGUUGCGUCGGCUGUGAAAUCCCGAGGCUCAACCUCGGGUCUGCAGUCGAUACGAGCAAACUAGAGUGUUGCAGGGGAGACUGGAAUUCCUGGUGUAGCGGUGAAAUGCGCAGAUAUCAGGAGGAACACCGGUGGCGAAGGCGGGUCUCUGGGCAACAACUGACGCUGGAGGAGCGAAAGCGUGGGGAGCGAACAGG